ACAGAUGCUCCUGAAGUUCCUCAGAGAUGUUGCUGGUCUUUUAUUGACUUUCCAAUUCCAACCCAAAGAAUUGUCAGUGCUGUGAAGACAAGUUCACUUUGCCCUGAGCCUGGCAUUGUGGUUACGACACCUAGAACUGAAUUUUGUGUGGACCCAGACGAGGCUUGGAUAAAGAGCUUCAUGGAGAAAAGGCAAUGGAAAUGAAACACAAUACAUAUGCACAAAAUAAUACUGUUAAUGAUUAAUACAACUGUAAUACCUUCUUAUUUUUUUUUCUUUUUUGCUGUAUCUCAUCAAUAUUACAAGAAAAAAAAACUGCUAAAUGUUAAACCUGUUCACAUUUAGCACUCAAUAUGCUGACAUGUGCAGGAUGACAAUGCAAAUGAAUAUUAAAAUGCUUGGAUAUUA